AAAAAAAAGUAUUCACUAUUGCUGGCUAGCAUAUAUAAUCAUCAACGAAAAAAAUGGAAAAGUGUGGAAAACGUGUCGUAGAAGCGAAACAAAGGCCAUAUUCCAGCAUGGCAACAACGCCAACGUAGUCUUUCUCAAUGUCGGGCAAUAUUUGCUCAUAAGUUGAAACAAAGAAAUACGCUGGAAAAGUGUAUGAGUCAUCGAUUUCACCGUCAGCUUCGGGGCAUUUCACAAUGCGGAAGCAACUGGAAAGGCGCAGUUUCUCGUUUUUGGCUAGAAAGUAACUCCCUAGGCAGGAUGAGGCUAUCCAGGAGGUUCAGGAAACUCUCGAAACAGACUCAGUCGGGUGCAAUGGCGGCAGCCCAGACCUGCAGUGUACGUGGAAUUGAUAAUUUGGGAUAGGAAGCCAGUUGGGCGUUGAAAGUUGAUACGCAAACGCGUAGGCGAUCGAUCCAAGUAAAACUCUGAACUCUGUACCCUUCGCGAGCAAUAGGCAGAAGAAGUGCUGAAAAUGCACUUCGGCCCAUGUACGCGUUUGGCGUACGCGAAAGUUGUGGCUGCGACCCUGACUCAGCCUUAGUGUUGAUUGUCGGGGUCGCGGACUGACCAGGGUGCGUCGUUUCUAUCAGAUUGAUUGUGCGGAUUGUGUUAUAGGAACUCCGGUGUAUCGACUUCUCUGCUCUACUAAGGGUGAACCCUACAAUGGGCCUUCUGUUGCUUACCUACCAUCGAACGAAUACCAAUACAUACCGGGCAGAUAUACGUAUAACUCUGUUCUGACAUCGAUCGAUUGAAACUGUUCACACGUCGUCUUUGGAGUAGCAAUUUAACCAACAAGUCCAAAACAAUGGCUGUUGCUUGCAAACAAUCUUUUCUGUGGCUAUACAUUUUGUGGUGAACUCUAAGCGGAAACAGUUCCACACCAACAAUGUGUUAAGUUCUUAAAUAUUUGAAAUUGUUUAAACUGUUUUUGUUUUUGUACACUCUACGACUUUAUAAUUACUUGUACCGAUGUAAAAUUACUUGUCGAAACAAAACAAAAAAUAAGAAAAUGGAAAAAAUGCUUAACAAAAGAGCUCAUCUAUCGAAAAGAAGCAACAAAAAAGUGAAUAAAAUUCAAUAAUUCCAAAAAUAAA